rnacentral:rRNA from 1 species
AUUUGACUCAACGCGGGGAAUCUUACCGGGUCCGGACACACUGAGGACGACAGACAAUUGUCUUUUUGUCAAAUUUAAAGACAAAAGAUAACAGAUCUUUCAUGAUUAUGUGAUGGGUGGUGCAUGGCCGUUCUUAGUUCGUGGAGUGAUCUGUCUGCUUAAUUGCGUUUCAAAUAUAUUUUAUUAUAUAACGAGUCUACAAAGGAGUGGUUCAUUAACAGACAAUCAUAUCUUUGAGCGUCUGGAAUCUACUCUAUUUGGCUCAAUUGAACGCAACGGACGUGAUCGCGAGUCCUUGUUGAACUUCAGUAUAUAUUGACUUUCCCCGUAGGAAGGGAUUGGCAAUAAUUGAAUGUUCGCUUUCUAUAGGUGUGUAUGAUUAAUCUCAAAAUUACAUGUAUUUGUAGUGGCGAGUAUAAUUUACUAUCCUAUAGGAAAACUCGGGCGACCGCUGUAAUAUUUCUCUUUAAAACAGAGGAAGAUUGCGGCAAUAACAGGUCU